GAGAGUUUGAUUCUGGCUCAGGAUGAACGCUGGCGGCGUGCUUAACACAUGCAAGUCGAACGAAGCACCUUGAUUUGAUUCUUCGGAUGAAGAUCUUGGCGACUGAGUGACGGACGGGUGAGUAACGCGUGGGUAACCUGCCUCAUACAGGGGGAUAACAGUUAGAAACGAUGCUAAUACCGCAUAAGACCACAGCACCGCGCAUGGUGCAGGGGUAAAAACUCCGGUGGUAUGAGAUGGACCCGCGUCUGAUUAGGUAGUUGGUGGGGUAACGGCCUACCAAGCCGACGAUCAGUAGCCGACCUGAGAGGGUGACCGGCCAUAUUGGGACUGAGACACGGCCCAAACUCCUACGGGAGGCAGCAGUGGGGAAUAUUGCACAAUGGGGGAAACCCUGAUGCAGCGACGCCGCGUGAGCGAUGUUGUAUUUCGGUAUCGUAAAGCUCUAUCAGCAGGGAAGAAAAUGACGGUACCUGAUAAGAAGCACCGGC
rnacentral:rRNA from 1 species